rnacentral:rRNA from 1 species
GACGAACGCUGGCGGCGUGCCUAAUACAUGCAAGUAGAACGCUGAAGGAGGAGCUUGCUUCUCUGGAUGAGUUGCGAACGGGUGAGUAACGCGUAGGUAACCUGCCUGGUAGCGGGGGAUAACUAUUGGAAACGAUAGCUAAUACCGCAUAAUAGUAGAUGUUGCAUGACAUUUGCUUAAAAGGUGCAAUUGCAUCACUACCAGAUGGACCUGCGUUGUAUUAGCUAGUUGGUGGGGUAACGGCUCACCAAGGCGACGAUACAUAGCCGACCUGAGAGGGUGAUCGGCCACACUGGGACUGAGACACGGCCCAGACUCCUACGGGAGGCAGCAGUAGGGAAUCUUCGGCAAUGGACGGAAGUCUGACCGAGCAACGCCGCGUGAGUGAAGAAGGUUUUCGGAUCGUAAAGCUCUGUUGUAAGAGAAGAACGAGUGUGAGGGUGGAAAGUUCACACUGUGACGGUAUCUUACCAGAAAGGGACGGCUAACUACGUG